CAGGAUUAGAUACCCUGGUAGUCCACGCCGUAAACGAUGUCGACUUGGAGGUUGUGCCCUUGAGGCGUGGCUUCCGGAGCUAACGCGUUAAGUCGACCGCCUGGGGAGUACGGCCGCAAGGUUAAAACUCAAAUGAAUUGACGGGGGCCCGCACAAGCGGUGGAGCAUGUGGUUUAAUUCGAUGCAACGCGAAGAACCUUACCUGGUCUUGACAUCCACAGAACUUUCCAGAGAUGGAUUGGUGCCUUCGGGAACUGUGAGACAGGUGCUGCAUGGCUGUCGUCAGCUCGUGUUGUGAAAUGUUGGGUUAAGUCCCGCAACGAGCGCAACCCUUAUCCUUUGUUGCCAGCGGUCCGGCCGGGAACUCAAAGGAGACUGCCAGUGAUAAACUGGAGGAAGGUGGGGAUGACGUCAAGUCAUCAUGGCCCUUACGACCAGGGCUACACACGUGCUACAAUGGCGCAUACAAAGAGAAGCGACCUCGCGAGAGCAAGCGGACCUCAUAAAGUGCGUCGUAGUCCGGAUUGGAGUCUGCAACUCGGCUCCAUGAAGUCGGAAUCGCUAGUAAUCGUGGAUCAGAAUGCCACGGUGAAUACGUUCCCGGGCCUUGUACACACCGCCCGUCACACCAUGGGAGUGGGUUGCAAAAGAAGUAGGUAGCUUAACCUUCGGGAGGGCGCUUACCACUUUGUGAUUCAUGACUGGGGUGAAGUCGUAACAAGGUAACCA
rnacentral:rRNA from 1 species